rnacentral:rRNA from 1 species
UACAGAGACUGCAAGCGUUAUUCGGAUUCACUGGGCGUAAAGGGUGCGCAGGCGGCCGUGUGUGUGUGGCGUGAAAGCCCGAUGCUUAACAUCGGAAUUGCACCUCAAACUACAUGGCUAGAGCAUUGGAGAGGGUAGCGGAAUUCACGGUGUAGCAGUGAAAUGCGUAGAUAUCGUGAGGAACACCAGAGGCGAAGGCGGCUACCUGGACAAUUGCUGACGCUCAGGCACGAAAGCGUGGGGAGCGAUCAGG